rnacentral:tRNA from 1 species
GGGAAUGUGGCUUAGUGGUAGAGUGCUUGCCUGGCAUGCAUGAAGCCCUGGGUUCGAUUCCUCAGCACCA